rnacentral:lncRNA from 1 species
UUGGCAUCUUUUUUUUUCAGAGCUCUUUUGGAUUUGCUGCCUUAUUUGCACUUUUUUGAACUUUUGCUUCUACAUACCAAUACACCAUACUCAACUAGAUCCCAAAGAUCUUGUGAAAUCAAAAAAGUUCGCAUUUUGAUACUCCAAAAUUCAAAAUUUUCUCCAUUGAAAAUUGGCACCAUGAAUUGAGAGAAUUAAGUGCACUUGCAUUUUUCAUGAUAGAACAAGUGUAAUGAGAAUAUACCUCUCACUUUGUACCUUCCAACUUACUAGAAGUUAGCAAGCCUUCCAACUACUUCUUACUUCAGAAAACACCACAACGCCCAGCCUUGAUCACAACGGGCUUUCUAAAGUAAUGCUCACUAAUAAAUUUGCACAGCAAUGUAGUAGAAGAAAUAAAAACUUUCAUUCAAAACUUGGUGAAUAACAAGUUUACAACAAGGAUUUAAAUAGAAGAAGAAAACUUGAGCCAAGAAAACCCAACUCAACACAUG